rnacentral:tRNA from 1 species
GGGCCGUUAGCUCAGUUGGCCAGAGCACCUCAUUUGCAAUGAGGGGGUCGCCAGUUCAAAUCUGGCACGGUCCA